UCAUCCAUUCCGCGUGAGUGAAGAAGGCCUUCGGGUUGUAAAGCUCUUUCGCAAGGGAAGAAAAUUAUGAUCGAAUAAAUCAUGAGGUUGACGGUACCUUGAUAAGAAGCACCGGCUAACUACGUGCCAGCAGCCGCGGUAAUACGUAGGGUGCGAGCGUUAAUCGGAAUUACUGGGCGUAAAGCGUGCGCAGGCGGUUUUGUAAGUCGGAUGUGAAAUCCCCGGGCUCAACCUGGGAACUGCGUUCGAAACUGCAAGGCUAGAGUGUGUCAGAGGGGGGUAGAAUUCCACGUGUAGCAGUGAAAUGCGUAGAGAUGUGGAGGAAUACCAAUGGCGAAGGCAGCCCCCUGGGAUAACACUGACGCUCAUGCACGAAAGCGUGGGGAGCAAACAGGAUUAGAUACCCUGGUAGUCCACGCCCUAAACGAUGUCAACUAGUUGUUGGUAGAGUAAAAUCUAUGAGUAACGUAGCUAACGCGUGAAGUUGACCGCCUGGGGAGUACGGUCGCAAGAUUAAAACUCACAGGAAUUGACGGGGGCCCGCACAAGCGGUGGAUUAUGUGGAUUAAUUCGAUGCAACGCGAAAAACCUUAACUGGCCUUGACAUGUACCGAAUUGAGCAGAGAUGUUCAAGUUGUUCGAAGAAGAACGGUAACACCGGUGCUGUUUGGUGUCGUCAGUCGUGUCUGAGAUGUGGGU
rnacentral:rRNA from 1 species